UCCUGCUGGAUUUUAGUAUAGGAAGUCGGGCCUGCCCGGUGCAAAGAGUAAACGGCUGCAACGCGAGUUGUACUAAGGUAGCGCGAUAAUUUGUCUCUUAAUUGGAGAAUGGUAUGAAAGGUUUGACGCGGAUUAGUUGUCUCCGGAAAAAACAAUGAAGUUUCCUUUUAAAUGAAAAGGUUUAAAUGAUAAUAAAAGACGAGAAGACCCUGCCGAGCUUGAUCAGGUUUAGCAUAAAGUGUUAAACUAAAAGGUAGUUGGGGAGAGCUAAACUUUAGAGAAUAGGUUUUUAAAAACGCGGAUCCUCUUGGAGAGAAAAUAGGUAAAAGCUACCGCAGGGAUAACAGCGUAAUUUCCCUUAAGAGAUCGUAUUGAGUGGGAAGUUUGCGACCUCGAUGUUGGAUUAGAAAAACUUCUUGGUGCAGGAGCUAGGAAAA
rnacentral:rRNA from 1 species